rnacentral:rRNA from 1 species
AGUCACUGACAUUAGAUACCCCGGUAGUCCAGGGUGUAAACGCUGCAGACUUGGUGUUGGGAACCCUUCGGGGGUGCUCAGUGCCGGAGAGAAGUUGUUAAGUCUGCUACUUGGGGAGUACGUCCGCAAGGAUGAAACUUAAAGGAAUUGGCGGGGGAGCGCCGCAACGGGAGGAGCGUGCGGUUUAAUUGGAUUCAACGCCGAAAAACUCACCAGCAGCGACUGUUACAUGAAAGUCAGGUUGAUGACCUUACUAGAUUUUCAG